UACGAAGGGGGCUAGCGUUGUUCGGAAUUACUGGGCGCAAAGCGCACGUAGGCGGAUGUGCCAGUCAGGGGUGAAAUCCCGAGGCUCAACCUCGGAACUGCCUCCGAUACAGCACGUCUCGAGUCCGGAAGAGGUGAGUGGAAUUCCUAGUGUAGAGGUGAAAUUCGUAGAUAUUAGGAAGAACACCAGUGGCGAAGGCGGCUAACUGGACCGGUACUGACGCUGAGGUGCGAAAGCGUGGGGAGCAAACAGG
rnacentral:rRNA from 1 species